rnacentral:rRNA from 1 species
UACGUAGGGUGCAAGCGUUAAUCGGAAUUACUGGGCGUAAAGCGUGCGCAGGCGGUUCGGAAAGAAAGAUGUGAAAUCCCAGGGCUCAACCUUGGAACUGCAUUUUUAACUACCGGACUAGAGUAUGUCAGAGGGAGGUGGAAUUCCACGUGUAGCAGUGAAAUGCGUAGAUAUGUGGAGGAACACCGAUGGCGAAGGCAGCCUCCUGGGAUAAUACUGACGCUCAUGCACGAAAGCGUGGGGAGCAAACA